UGGGGAAUAUUGCACAAUGGGCGCAAGCCUGAUGCAGCCAUGCCGCGUGUGUGAAGAAGGCCUUCGGGUUGUAAAGCACUUUCAGCGAGGAGGAAGGUGGUGAGCUUAAUACGCUCAUCAAUUGACGUUACUCGCAGAAGAAGCACCGGCUAACUCCGUGCCAGCAGCCGCGGUAAUACGGAGGGUGCAAGCGUUAAUCGGAAUUACUGGGCGUAAAGCGCACGCAGGCGGUUUGUUAAGUCAGAUGUGAAAUCCCCGGGCUCAACCUGGGAACUGCAUUUGAAACUGGCAAGCUAGAGUCUCGUAGAGGGGGGUAGAAUUCCAGGUGUAGCGGUGAAAUGCGUAGAGAUCUGGAGGAAUACCGGUGGCGAAGGCGGCCCCCCUGGACGAAGACUGACGCUCAGGUGCGAAAAGCGUGGGGCAGCAAACAGGAUUAGAUACCCUGGUAGUCCAGCGCUGUAAAACGAUGUCGAUUUGGAGGUUGUGCCCUUGAGGCGUGGCUUCCGGAGCUAACGCGUUAAAUCGACCGCCUGGGGAGUACGGCCGCAAGGUUAAAAACUCAAAUG
rnacentral:rRNA from 1 species